rnacentral:lncRNA from 1 species
AUUUAAAUGACACAAUCCAAUUUUACGUUUCUCAUCAACAUCUUAUACCAGUUCAUCUGAGAGGAGAUCGCAUUCCAUUAUUUCAAAUGCCUGCAUAAGUUUAAAAAAUUUAUCACAUUUGCUUACAUGGAGUCGGCAUGUUGCAACUAUACGUAGUGAAUCUUUGGCUAGCCCGACAAGUCGUGUAAUGGAUGUUUUUAG